rnacentral:rRNA from 1 species
CGAUAGCGUAUAUUAAAGUUGUUGCAGUUAAAAAGCUCGUAGUUGGAUUUCUGGUGGGAGCGAUCGGUCUGGCGCUUAGCGCGAGUACUUGCAUCGUCUCCGGCCAUCCUUGGGGAGAGUCUGUCUGGCAUUAAGUUGUCGGGCAGAGGAUCCUCAUCGUUUACUGUGAAAAAAUUAGAGUGUUCAAAGCAGGCUUAUGCCGUUGAAUAUAUUAGCAUGGAAUAAUAAGAUAGGACUUUGGUACUAUUUUGUUGGUUUGCGCACCAAAGUAAUGAUUAAUAGGGACAGUUGGGGGUAUUCGUACUCCGUUGUCAGAGGUGAAAUUCUUGGAUUUACGGAAGACGAACUACUGCGAAAGCAUUUACCAAGGAUGUUUUCAUUAA